rnacentral:rRNA from 1 species
AGUCACUGACAUUAGAUACCCGCGUAGUCCAGGGUGUAAACGCUGCAGACUUGGUGUUGGAAGUCCUUUGGGGGCAUUCAGUGCCGGAGAGAAGUUGUUAAGUCUGCUACUUGGGAGUACGUCCGCAAGGAUGAAACUUAAAGGAAUUGGCGGGGAGCACCGCAACGGGAGGAGCGUGCGGUUUAAUUGGAUUCAACACCGUAAAACUCACCAGGGAAGACUGUUACAUGAAAGCCGAGAUGAAGACUCUGCUAGAUUUUCAG